UUCUGGAAGCCGAAACCGUGGCCUGUGAUUGAUUGGGCCUUCUACCUCCGAAAGCCCAUUCUUUUAGCCUCGUUUUCCAGCCCAGUUUCGCCUUCUCAGUUAUCACCUCACCUCAUCGCCUCCCCGAGGGCUCUCGUCCGAACGACCUAGGCAAAGCAGCCAUCCCCGACGUAGCGCCGCCGCUGAAGAAACCUGAAGCAGCGCCGCCGCUUCCCUCCUCUCUUCCUUGAUUGAUUGCUCCCUUUCUCCUUAGCCUACACGCUACCCUCCCCAUGCGGUCUUCCUGCCCCGCUGCUCUAUGCCAGUGGAAGGUGAGAGGAUGAGGACCGAGGGAUGGGAAGGCGAGUCGAGGCGUAACAGGCGGACUCUUGCCAGUUGCCAAUAUCUUCCUCCUCGUCGCGCAGCUGUUCCAUGACCUCGACCUCGAGCGUCGGUGCCCACGAUGGGCAGCACGCCUGUUGAACCCACUAAUGGAAUAGAUGCACUAUCUGUUCUGAUUAUUACCGUCUUCUUUUCCGUGUCGCCCGCAGUACCUACAAGACACCGAUAUGGAAGGCUUCAAGGACACGUACCCGGAUGACCUUCUUACUCUAUCCUUAAGCUGUUCUGGACAAAACUGGAAUCCACCCAGGUGAUAUCGGUGACGCUGUAGUCGGGACGAUGCUAGGCCCAGAUUCCCAGCGUGCAAUCGAAUGCAGGACUGCAUCUUUGUUGGCUGGAGUUCCACAAACUAUUCCUAUGAGAACAGUAAAGUGUGAACGGACAAUGCUCAUCUGGGUGGCAGUAUGCAAGAAUUGAUAUGAAUGUGACAGUGUAUUUGAAUUUUGGGCAAGACUGGUGAGUCAUCGUCAAUCUCAGGAGAUUAAUGAGCUAGAAGACUACCAACUCAAUAUGUAUAUGUAUUACUUUACAAUGAAAAACGACCACAACUAUCAACUAAGGAGAAGGGGCUCAGUCUGUAAAUCGUUGCCUUCAGAUGCUGCUGGAUUCAAAACUUCGAGUGGCAAGCAGGAGUGAUAUGCCUGAUUGUUGUGGAGUUCAACUUCACUAUGAAUUAGGACACAGAGCUAGGUGACAAUACAAAUUGAUGUUGAAUGCGCGAGGCAGGGAGUGGGUAUCUAGGAAGAAUGAAUUUAAAGGAAUCGAUGCAAUGAUAAUGUCGGUACAAUGGCAGCUCCAAAUUUCUAUAGAAGCAUAAUGAGAAGGAAUGAUGUACUGUACUAGUAAUAUUCAGGGAAGUGUCCCAAAACAGUAUAGUUCAGUGAAAAACCGUAUAUUUGAUGGACCAUUCAAAUUUCGACAUGAUAUUAGAAGUGCAAUAUUCACUUUUCACUUUCUAAUUCAUAUUUAUUUAUUUUUAUAUUCCAUAUGAAUUCUAAACUGCAUAUUCUGUACUGUGUUGUUCAAGGUAGAGUCCUUCAUAUCCGAUGACAUCACCUUGAUGCGAGAUGGGAUAUAAAUACUAAAAUAGCAUGUAAAUAACAUUACCAUAGUUAUUUACCUAUUGAAGCUGGACAGCAUUGUGUUUUUUUGGUCCAGUAUUUUUUCGCGUGUAGCAAUUGGUUAUAUAUCUUCUGCGCCUUUAUAUUUGCAUGUAUCCUUAAAGCUGGUUAUUUUUCCUUGAGAUGAGACUGCAGGGAAGGGCUCACAGCUGGAAGUGUCGAGUACUAUAUCACUUUGGGGGAAAUCGAACCAUAAGGGAGAGAGAGCUAUGUGCUUCUGUGGUGGGCAGGGUCUAACAACGAAACCAUCCCAUCCUGUUGUGGUUGUUGGCCGCUUCGUGUUUGCCUCUUUCAGGAGAACGAUCUGUAAUGCGCAAGUCCCUUUCAAGGCUUAUCCAUCCUCGUUGCCAUACACCUCACCGGGGUUGCUCCAACGACGGAACCGUCCAUCACAGCGGAGCAGUACCCUCAGCGCCGUUUCCAGAGGCCUCGUAUCUUCUUCCCCGCCUCCGACAGUCACACCAGCAUCAUCAUCC